GGGCCCGGAGGGGAUCGAACCCUCGACCCGCGGGUCGAGGGUUCGAUCCCCUCCGGGCCCA
rnacentral:tRNA from 1 species